CCGAGUUUACAACUCCCAACCCAAUGUGAACCAUACCAAACUGUUGCCUCGGCGGGGUCACGCCCCGGGUGCGUCGCAGCCCGGAACCAGGCGCCCGCCGGAGGGACCAACCAAACUCUUCUGUAGUCCCCUCGCGGACGUUAUUUCUUACAGCUCUGAGCAAAAAUUCAAAAUGAAUCA
rnacentral:misc_RNA from 1 species